rnacentral:rRNA from 1 species
AUUGAACGCUGGCGGCAUGCCUUACACAUGCAAGUCGAACGGUAACGGGCCUUCGGGUGCCGACGAGUGGCGAACGGGUGAGUAAUGUAUCGGAACGUACCUUUCAGUGGGGGAUAACGUAGCGAAAGUUACGCUAAUACCGCAUAUUCUGUGAGCAGGAAAGCAGGGGAUCGCAAGACCUUGCGCUGAUUGAGCGGCCGAUAUCAGAUUAGCUAGUUGGUGGGGUAAAGGCUAACCAAGGCGACGAUCUGUAGCGGGCCUGAGAGGAUGAUCCGCCACACUGGAACUGAGACACGGUCCAGACUCCUACGGGAGGCAGCAGUGGGGAAUUUUGGACAAUGGGGGCAACCCUGAUCCAGCCAUGCCGCGUGAGUGAAGAAGGCCUUCGGGUUGUAAAGCUCUUUCGGCCGGGAAGAAAUCGUAUCAGCUAAUACCUGGUGCGGAUGACGGUACCGGCAUAAGAAGCACCGGCUAACUACGUGCUAGCCGCCGCGGUAAUAC